rnacentral:rRNA from 1 species
GGUUAAGCGACUAAGCGUACACGGUGGAUGCCUAGGCAAUCAGAGGCGAUGAAGGACGUGCUAAUCUGCGAUAAGCGUCGGUAAGGUGAUAUGAACCGUUACAACCGACGAUUUCCGAAUGGGGAAACCCAGUGCAAUCCGUUGCACUAUCGUUUGAUGAAUACAUAGUCAAACGAAGCGAACCGGGGGAACUGAAACAUCUCAGUACCCCGAGGAAAAGAAAUCAACCGAGAUUCCCCUAGUAGCGGCGAGCGAACGGGGAGCAGCCCAGAGUCUUAAUCAGCAUUAGCAUCAGGAGAACGGUCUGGAAAGUCCGGCAGUAAAGGGUGAUAGCCCCGUAUCCGAAGGUGUUA